rnacentral:rRNA from 1 species
UACGUAGGGGGCUAGCGUUGUCCGGAAUCAUUGGGCGUAAAGGGUGCGUAGGCGGCGCGGUAAGUCGGGUGUGAAAUCUCGGGGCUUAACUCCGAAACUGCAUUCGAUACUGCCGUGCUUGAGGACUGGAGAGGAGACUGGAAUUUACGGUGUAGCGGUGAAAUGCGCAGAUAUCAGGAAGAACACCCGUGGCGAAAGCGGCUCUCUGGAACGGUACUGACGCUGAGACGCGAAAGCGUGGGGAGCGAACAGG